GCAUUAUAUGAUGCUGGGACAGAGGGAGACCUGGAGGGGAGCCAGAGAGGACAUUUUUUGUUUAUAGAACAAGUGGACUACUGCAGAGCACAACCUGGCCCCAUAAACUCACAUCCUUGUGCGUUCUGUUGGGGUGCAGCUGUGCUAUGUUCUACAACAUGCACAAAGUUCACAUAGAAUCAAGAAGAAAGAUCCGAGACCGGGUUUAAACUCCUCAACAGCACGGUGCCUGCCUGUCUACAAAGUAUCCUUGGAAAUUCCAGUAGACAGCUAGUCCUUAAGGUGGUGAUGGAGGAACACUUGAAAGAAGAUGAACACAUGGACACGCCUACACUGAAACAUGGCCUCAAAGGACUCCGUCUUCGUCCUCCUCUUACUAUGUGUGCCUCACAAGCCUGCCACCCCCAGCUCGAAGACAUCGAUCUCUGCUUCUGUCAGCUUUUGAAUGGCAUCACACCUACCCAGACGGCUCAUCUCAGACUCCAGCGUCCAUUUCCUUCCCCUCUUGAUCAUCAACAGACUCGCGUUGUCCUCCCUCUCUGCCACAUACUGAGCGGCAAGGUCACCUUGUUGAAUGACCAACAGUCCUUGGGUUUACAAACAACGCCAUGCUUGAUCACAAUCUCUCUUAGUUUUUAAGUCCCCCAGAGAAACAUUUUUAGUCUUAUUAAGAUUUCCUGUAAUUUGACCUCAUCAUAUCAGACUGAACCAUUUCUCUGUGCAACCGGCUAUGCAACCGGCUCCAUCCUGUUUUUCUGUUAUCUCCUCCCAAAUUUACUGUAUGGUUUAUAUUUAUAGUCAUUGACUUGCAGCUACUCCCAUCCCUACCGGCCUGCUCUCCUUCAUUUGCAUUACUUAGCAAUUCUAACAGUCUUCUUUCAUGUGGUCAAGCACUGCGGGAAUAAAUUUUACAGUGGGGUCGUUCUAUGUUCACAAUUGUGAAUACCAAACAAG
rnacentral:lncRNA from 1 species